GCUCAAGGCCGCCCUGGGAGGGCUGAGAGGCAGGCUCUGGACUGGGGACACAGGGAUAGCUGAGCCCCAGCUGGGGGUGGAAGCUGAGCCAGGGACAGUCACAGAGGGACAAGAUCAAGAUGCGCUUUAACUGAGAAGCCCCCAAGGCAGAGGCUGAGAAUCAGAAGACAUUUCAGCAGACAUCUACAAAUCUGAAGGACAAAACAUGGUUCAAGCAUCUGGGCACAGGCGGAGUGGCUGACCGGGAUGCUCCAGCUGUGUCUCUUCGCCAUCGUGGACCAGGAGAACAACCCAGCACUGCCAGGAACACACGCACUGGUGAUAGGCAUCCUCGUGGUCAUCAUCAGGGUGUACCAUGGCAUGAACACAGGAUAUGCCAUCAAUCCGUCCCGGGACCUGCCCCCCCCGCAUCUUCACCUUCAUUGCUGGUUGGGGCAAACUGGUCUUCAGGUGGCAUCAUCUACCUGGUCUUCAUUGGCUCCACCAUCCCACGGGAGCCCCUGAAAUUGGAGGACUCUGUGGCAUAUGAAGACCACGGAAUAACCGUAUUGCCCAAGAUGGGAUCUCAUGAACCCAUGAUCUCUCCCCUUACCCUCAUCUCCGUGAGCCCUGCCAACAGAUCUUCAGUCCACCCUGCCCCACCCUUACAUGAAUCCAUGGCCGUAGAGCACUUCUAAGCAGAGAUUAUUUGUGAUCCCAUCCCUUCCCCAAUAAAGAGAAGCUUGUCCCACAGCAGUACCCCCACUUCCUGGGGGCCUCCUGUGGUUGGGCUUCCCUCCUGGGUUCUUCCAGGAGCUCUAGGGCUAUGUCUUAGCCCAAGGUGUAGAGGUGAGGCACCUCAAGUCUUUCAUGCCCUGGGAACUGGGGUGCCCCAGGGGGAGAAUGGGGAAGAGCUGACCUGCGCCCUCAGUAGGAACAAGGUAAGAUGAAAGAAUGACAGAAACAGAAUGAGGGAUUUUCAGGCAAGGGGGAAGGAAGGGCAGUUUUGGUGAAAGGACUGUAGCUGACUGGUGGGGGGCUGGCUUUGGAAAUACUUUGAGGGGAUCCUGAGACUGGACUCUAGACUCUCCCCUGGUUGUUCCCUUCCCCGAGUUCUGGCCGGUUCUUGGACCAGACAAGGCAUGGCCCAAGAAGGUAGAUCAGAAUUUUUUAGCCUUUUUUUCAUUAGUGCCUUCCCUAGUAUUCUUCCAGAUUUUUUUUCUUAAUCACAUGAAAUUUUAAUACCACAGAUAUACUAUACAUCUGUUUAUGUUCUGUAUAUGUUCUGUGCUUUAUACGUAAAAAAGAGUAAGAUUUUUUUUCACC
rnacentral:lncRNA from 1 species